rnacentral:rRNA from 1 species
UACGUAGGGGGCAAGCGUUGUCCGGAUUUAUUGGGCGUAAAGAGCGUGUAGGCGGCCAGGUAGGUCCGUUGUGAAAACUCGAGGCUUAACCUCGAGACGUCGAUGGAAACCAUCUGGCUAGAGUCCGGAAGAGGAGAGUGGAAUUCCUGGUGUAGCGGUGAAAUGCGCAGAUAUCAGGAAGAACACCCGUGGCGAAGGCGGCUCUCUGGCCCGGUACUGACGCUGAGGUGCGAAAGCGUGGGGAGCAAACAGG